GUGUGAUUUAACCUUAACAAGCUACAUCACCUCUUCUUCUGACAGAUGGGGCUGCAGAACUUGACUCUUGCUGGAAGCCUCAAGUUCAUCAGAAACAGUCGUGGCCCAUGUCUUUGAGGUUUGCUUCUAAGGUUAAGGUUCCAUAGCAAGUGGAGAAACCUUCAAUUGCCUUAGUGGAGUAAGAAGGACUAAGCAAAUCUCUAGUACAGAACCUUGCUGGGCUGAGAAGGAACCUCUCCUGCAGCCAAAGAGGGAGUAAGCAGAGGUCCCAGACCUCAGACCUGCCCUCUCACACCAGACCUUCUCUUCUGAGAAAAAGAGGAACCACCUAUUGCAAAUGGGCAGCAAAGGUAGCUGAGCAGUUACAGAGGCAGCGGUGCACAACCAAGCAGUGAGAGUGGCCAUGCCAUGGUGCGUCCCCCAAACGACACUCAGCACCUCAGCAUCCCACCUCCAGAACACUGAAAUGUGGCUGUGAGCAUCUGUGCUUUAUCUUAAUUUUGUGCCUCCAUUAGCAAGAGGUGUCCUAAGGUAACCGCCUCUUCACUCUAUAUCAUUUUAGCUUGCAAAGGUUUCAUGGAGAUAAUCUACUUUAGGAUAGCAAGUGAAACCUGAAUUCAGCUUUAAUGCAAAUUCCAAAAAGGUUAAUUAUCUUCUCCAAGGUCAAUAUUUGAAUUUGGGUUUGUCUGACAUGAAAUCCCAGGCUGUGUCCACACCAAAUAAGCCCUGGCUGAUGUCAUGAGCUUGAAUUUCUUAUCUGC
rnacentral:lncRNA from 1 species